AGCACUAAGUGUGCUGCAAGCAUUACACACAUUCAAAUGGAGCUGUCUUUGAGAUAUAUAGGAGUCUACAAGCUCAUUUCUUCUGGAAAAUGAUGGAUCGAGGGCCAGAACAGAAACUAAGGAGAAGAACCCAAGGAUUUGGAGGAAGGUUUAGCCUGAAAAGGGAGAAGUUGUGCCUUCCCCUCCCUGGUUCUCCUGUGUGCCCAGCAUCCAGUGAGCAGAAGAGAGGACAGCAUUUGUGAACUAGUCACGUGCAGUGAUUUCUUCAUCUUUCUUAACAGAUGUCGUGAUGGAAAUUCUGCCAGCCCUCUGCAAGUUGGUGUAUUUCGGGCUUCACCUGGGAGCCUCAGAUUUAAAGAGGUCAGUCUAGAAAGGACCACAGAUGCUGGCCUUGGCUUCCCAUUGAUGUUGUGACUGGAGGACACGCCUCUUCCACGGCCUCUGCUCAUGCUGUGUCAGUAUGUUAUGCAAUAGAUCUCAAGGCAUCUAAAAG